GGGCCGGAGCAGUCCCCAGCUCGGGGGAAGUUGGGUGCUGGUCUCCUCUGGGCUGAUCCCCCUGAGGAGGAGGCGGUGUCGGUGUCUGUGUCUGUGUCGGUGUCCCAUCCUGCCUCCCCCGGGGCCUAGCGAAGCGGGAGACGGGGCAGGGCGCGGGCGAGGCCUCCGGGCCGCGCGAGCCGGGUUUCCCGGAGCGAGGAAAAGGCAGGCCAAGUGCGGGAGGGCGUCCCCAGGGAGGCGUGAGGUGUGUGGAGCCCCAGGAGCUGUGAUCAAAGGGCGAGCGGCAGCG